UUGAGGGAGUCGGUUCGUGACGAGCUCGGUCUCUCCCUUCGACGCGGAACAAAAAAGCUCGGUCCGGGAUCGCCUCCGAUUCUCUACGACGAGAAUUCUGCCCGUGACAAGCUUGCUCUCGCGUAUUAUUCGUUGCUCGCGUGACGAUUCGUUCGCGUAACGCGAUGAUAACGCCGCGUUCCUUCGACGACGAAGGCUAGCCUUGCCCUUGAAACGGCAGCCGGAGUUUCGAGUGGCCGACACACAGCGUAACGCGCACGACGACGUUCCCACCAGCUGUGUCCCCCGGAAUCCGCGUGUGUGUUGUGCUCGACGUUUCUUUUUUUCCUCUCUCUCUUUUUGUUUCUCUUGUUCUUUCGUUCUUCUGUCGCCUGUCGUUCGUGUCUUGUUUCACCGUGAUUUCCGUGGCAAAGGGAAACUUCGUCGAGAAAUGGUCUCUCGCCCUCUGUUCCUUCGUUGAACGCGUUUUGUUUCCUGUUCGGUUUUGUUUUGGUGUUUACUGGUGAUAAUCUGCCACGGGACAAAGGGACACCGGAGCCAGCCGCUGCGAAACAGCAACAGAGACGGGACAGAGUGGGAGAGAGAGAUAUCGUGGUGUAUCGAUCGAGAGUGGAGCUUCCAGUUGACCGAAUACCCUAGUGCACGUCGUCGAGGAUACGCCACUUGAAGUCAGAAGGAGGAUUCUCCAAACUGGUCGGCAAAUCCCGAGGGAAUUGGAGCGCGCGCUGCGGGACCAGUUGGUAAGUAAUUUGCUGAAUCCUAU